rnacentral:tRNA from 1 species
GGGGUUGUGGCCCAGUGGUAGAGUGCUUGCCUAGCAUGCAUGAGGCACUGGGUUCAAUUCUCAGCACCCCA